GCGGAAGCCCCGCCCGCUCGUUUCCGGUUCCGGCUGAUGGCGGCUGAGGUGGCUCCGCUGCCCGUCCUCGUUAAGCCCCUAACGAAGGAGCUGGUUAAUUACCUAAGGAGCUAAUUAAUUCCUGGCUGGACUCACCUAAGAAAGGAAGCAGUUAAUUAAGCAAAGGAGCUGGUUAAUUACCUAAGGAGCUGAUUAAUUCCUGGCUGGACUCACUUAACAAAGGAGGCAGUUAAUUAAGUAAAGGAGGCGGUUAAUUAACGAAGGAGGCGGUUAAUCAGCGAAGGAAGUGGUCAAUUAAUGAAGGAGCUGAUUAAUUACCGAGCUGAUCCACCUAACAAGGGAGGCGAUUAAUUAUGGAAGGAGCUGAUUAAUUACUGAAGGUGCUCAUUAAUUCCUGAGCGGAUUCACCUAACAAAGGAGGCGAUUAAUUAGCGAAGGAGGCGGUCAAUUAAUGAAGGAGGCAAUCAAUUAAUGGAGGAGGUGGUCAAUUAACGAAGGAGGUGGUUAAUUAACAAAGGAGGUGGUUAAUUAACAAAGGAGGCAGUCAAUUAACGAAGGAGGCAGUCAAUUAAUGGAGGAGGCAGUCAAUUAGGGAAGGAGGCGAUCAAUUAACGAAGGAGGCAGUCAAUUAACAAAGGAGGCAGUCAGUUAAUGAAGGAGGCGGUCAAUUAACGAAGGAGGC